rnacentral:rRNA from 1 species
UACGUAGGGUGCGAGCGUUAAUCGGAAUUACUGGGCGUAAAGUGUGCGCAGGUGGCUGAGCAAGUCGAGUGUGAAAGCCCCGGGCUUAACUUGGGAAUUGCGCUCUAAACUACUUGGCUCGAGUGUGGCAGAGGAAGGUGGAAUUCCACGUGUAGCGGUGAAAUGCGUAGAGAUGUGGAGGAACACCGAUGGCGAAGGCAGCCUUCUGGGCCAACACUGACGCUCAUGCACGAAAGCGUGGGGAGCAAACAGG